rnacentral:rRNA from 1 species
AGUGGCGGACGGGUGAGUAAUGUCUGGGGAUCUGCCCGAUAGAGGGGGAUAACCACUGGAAACGGUGGCUAAUACCGCAUAACGUCGCAAGACCAAAGAGGGGGACCUUCGGGCCUCUCACUAUCGGAUGAACCCAGAUGGGAUUAGCUAGUAGGCGGGGUAAUGGCCCACCUAGGCGACGAUCCCUAGCUGGUCUGAGAGGAUGACCAGCCACACUGGAACUGAGACACGGUCCAGACUCC